GACGAACGCUGGCGGCGUGCUUAACACAUGUAAGUCGAACGGAAAUGCCCUGCUUUUGUGGGGUGCUCGAGUGGCGGACGGGUGAGUAAACCGUGAGUUACCUGCCCUUGACUUUGGGAUAAACUCAGUAAACUGGGGCUAAUACCGGAUAGUAGCUCCUGUUGCAUGGUGGGGGUUGGAAAGAUUCUGCGGUUUGUGAUGGAUUCGCGGCUUAUCAGCUUGUUGGUGGGGUAGUGGCUUACCAAGGCUUUGACGGGUAGCCGGCCUGAGAGGGUGACCGGCCAGGUUGGGACUGAGGUACGGCCCAGACUCGUGCGGGAGGGAGCAGUGGGGGAAAGUGCACUGCGGGCGGGAGCCGGAAGCAGCAACGCCGCGUGCGUUGUGAAGGCCUUCGGGUUGUAAACCGCGUUCUCCUGUGACGAAGCGUGAGGGACGGUGAUGGGUAAAGAAGCACCGGCUAACUACGUG
rnacentral:rRNA from 1 species